rnacentral:rRNA from 1 species
UACGAGUGCUCCAAGCGUUAUCCGGAAUUAUUGGGCGUAAAGGGCGCGUAGGCGGUCAGCACAAGUCAGUUGUGAAAUCUCCGGGCUUAACUCGGAAAGGUCAACUGAUACUGUGCGACUAGAGUGCGGAAGGGGCAACUGGAAUUCUCGGUGUAGCGGUGAAAUGCGUAGAUAUCGAGAGGAACACCUGCGGCGAAGGCGGGUUGCUGGGCCGACACUGACGCUGAUGCGCGAAAGCCAGGGGAGCGAACGGG